rnacentral:lncRNA from 1 species
UACAUAUUUAGGCGAUUGUAUGAACAACAUCAAUCCUGGAGUAUAGACGAGAGUCAUAACCGAGGGUUUACAGGUUGGUUUAGAGAUAACGAUACUUCGGAUGCAAUCUAAAUGAACUAUAUUAUGAAAUUAGCUAGUGUAACUUGAAAGAGUGCGUCUAGUAGAUUGUCAUAGUUACGUGAGAAAGACCUAUGAUAGCUUGAGUAUUCUUGAUUGAUAGAGAUAACCAAAUCGUAGUUAUAAGAUUUAUGCAACCAAGGAAAUCAACAAUGGGGGAAACCAUUGCCUUAGACCUUAUUCCAACUGUGCAAAAAUCAACAUUAGUUAAUUUCUAGUUUGUAC